CAUCACCCCAGCGCCACUUUCUCACUUUGGCAGUGGCAGUUGAUUUCCAGAGAGCAACUGGCUCUGGCCUUCAUUCUUUCUCUCACACUUACGGACCCAGCCCCGGCAAGUUAGCACACCUUCUUCAGAGGUCUGGUUCCAUUUUUGUAGGGGCUUCCUUCUUGCUUCUGCCUUUAGUCCUCCAGCCAGGGCACAAUAGUGCUUCCUGCAGUUUUCUUGGAGAAACUUCAUUAUUCCCUUUUUGUCUUCUCAGUUCUCUAAUUUCUGGUGAACAGCCAUUUAUUUAUACUAAGUUAUCUCUGUUAACAUUACUGAUGUGGUUUCUGUUUCCUGACUGGAUCUUCUCUGAUACCACAUCUAAAACUUCACUUUCCCUAAAUAAGACAGUUGAGAAGGAAACAUUCAUUUUAUGAGCAAAUGUGUUGAACUUGAUCUGAAGAAGGGCUGUCAGGAGCUUUGUCUUUAUCAUGCUGCCUGGGCAGGCUCAUUCAGCAGUACCUGUUGGAGCAAACUACCGGCCCUUGAAGCUAUGCCAGGGGCAUGGCUUGGUGUGGCUGCUUUGUGGGCUACGGGCUGCCACCAAGGGCGCAAGCAGGGUUAAGGUCUCAAGUGAGUGGCCACAUUUGAGAAACAGAAUAAUUCUUUAAGAGAGGAUGAGAGGAGAAGAGGAAAGGGGGAAAGCCCAUUGCAGAAAGAUGGAGAGCUACAGUGAUUAUUGCAACCAAAAAAAAAAAAAAAAACAAUUAUGUGCAGGCAAGAUGGGCAGAAUGCAGGGUGAGAAGCUGGAUGGAGUCAGGAGAGGGAAGGAAUCACGAAGACUAUUAGUCUUGGUACUAAAGGACAGUUUCAGCCUCUCAUUUAUUUGCUGAUAAUAAAAAUGGCCUGCACAAUAGGUUGGUCAACACCACUUUCUUGCUUCAUUGGUUUCCAAAAGGACUAGCCACUUCCCUGCUGAGGGAUUAUUUCCAGGAGCCUGUCUCAGGUCACUCACCAUGACCUCCGCAUUCAGCAUUCAGUUCCCCUCUCU
rnacentral:lncRNA from 1 species